GAUGAACGCUGGCGGCGUGCUUAACACAUGCAAGUCGAACGGGGUUAUCAUUUUUGAAGCGAUUAGCUUGCUAAGAGUGGAAAAGUUGAUAACUUAGUGGCGGACGGGUGAGUAACGCGUGGGUAACCUGCCUUACACAGGGGGAUAACACUUAGAAAUAGGUGCUAAUACCGCAUAAGCGCACAGUCCCGCAUGGGACAGAGUGAAAAACAUUAGUGGUGUAAGAUGGACCCGCGUCUGAUUAGCUUGUUGGCGGGGUAACGGCCCACCAAGGCGACGAUCAGUAGCCGGCCUGAGAGGGUGGACGGCCACAUUGGGACUGAGACACGGCCCAA
rnacentral:rRNA from 1 species